AUUGAACGCUAGCGGGAUGCCUUACACAUGCAAGUCGAACGGCGUGGCGAACGGGUGAGUAAUGUAUCGGAACGUGCCCCGUAGCGGGGGAUAACUACGCGAAAGCGUAGCUAAUACCGCAUACUAUUGGAGCGGCCGCUAUCGGAUUAGCUAGUUGGUGGGGUAACGGCUCACCAAGGGGACGAGCCGUAGCCGGUGUGAGAGGACGACCAGCCACACUGGGACUGAGACACGGCCCAGACGCCUACGGGAGGGAGCAGUGGGGAAUUUUGGACAAUGGGGGGAACCCUGAUCCAGCCAUCCAGCGUGUGAGAUGAAGGCGUUCGGGUUGUAAAGCACGUUUGGCAGGAAAGCGGUACCUGCAGAAUAAGCACCGGCUAACUACGUGCCAGCAGCCGCGGUAAUUC
rnacentral:rRNA from 1 species